UGAACGCUGGCGGCGUGCCUAAUACAUGCAAGUCGAGCGAACAGACGAGGAGCUUGCUCCUCUGACGUUAGCGGCGGACGGGUGAGUAACACGUGGAUAACCUACCUAUAAGACUGGGAUAACUUCGGGAAACCGGAGCUAAUACCGGAUAAUAUAUUGAACCGCAUGGUUCAAUAGUGAAAGACGGUUUUGCUGUCACUUAUAGAUGGAUCCGCGCCGCAUUAGCUAGUUGGUAAGGUAACGGCUUACCAAGGCAACGAUGCGUAGCCGACCUGAGAGGGGGAUCGGCCACACGGGAACUGAGACACGGUCCAGACUCCUACGGGAGGCAGCAGUAGGGAAUCUUCCGCAAUGGGCGAAAGCCUGACGGAGCAACGCCGCGUGAGUGAUGAAGGUCUUCGGAUCGUAAAACUCUGUUAUUAGGGAAGAACAAAUGUGUAAGUAACUAUGCACGUCUUGACGGUACCUAAUCAGAAAGCCACGGCUAACUACGUG
rnacentral:rRNA from 1 species